UGCAAUUAUGAAAACUUGGAUUCGCACAAAAUAGUGUGAACAUACGACAAACUAAUCUGGCAAGCGAGAAGAAAUCGGUCAAACCAAACUCGCUUAACAGUUUCCUGUGAUAUCACACAAACGGUACCUUACCCUACAUUCGGCGAAAUAAAAUCCUACCCAUUGAUAUGAUGUAUCCUUCUACACUGGAAGUCACCCAAACCCCCAGCAGAUAAGUCUUGGGAGACUGAUCUAAUGUCAUUCCUUAAGCUGGAAAAGAUCAAAUUCUCACUUAGAGGGUCGACUGGGAAAUUCUACACUACAUGGCAGCCUCUCCUCUCAUAUUUUGAUAAUGUAGCUACGACUCCUACUACUUAGAAUUAAAGUACCAGUACCAGUUGUACUGUUGCAUACAGAUACUUUGAUUGAUUCGAUACAUUGAUAGAGAAAGGUGGACCAACUUGGGAUGGGAGCGUGGGUGGGUUUUUAAGUUUUGUAUAUGUUUCUUUCUUUCUUGUAUAUCUGUAU